GUGUUCACUUCAGUGGCUCAUAUGCUAAAAUUGGAGUGAUACAGAGAAGAUUAGUAUGGCCCCUGUGCAAGGAUGACACACGAAUUCAUGAAGCAUUCUAUAAUAAA
ensembl:snRNA U6 U6 spliceosomal RNA